UGGGGAAUAUUGCACAAUGGGCGCAAGCCUGAUGCAGCCAUGCCGCGUGUGUGAAGAAGGCCUUCGGGUUGUAAAGCACUUUCAGCGAGGAGGAAGGGUUCAGUGUUAAUAGCACUGUUCAUUGACGUUACUCGCAGAAGAAGCACCGGCUAACUCCGUGCCAGCAGCCGCGGUAAUACGGAGGGUGCAAGCGUUAAAUCGGA
rnacentral:rRNA from 1 species